rnacentral:misc_RNA from 1 species
GUAGGUGAACCUGCGGAAGGAUCAUUAUACAUUGUGGGACUGGCAGCGGUGUUGAAAGACGCUGUCUGCUAGUCUGUCUACACAUACCCUGCUUUGGCGUACUUAUUGUUUCCUCGGUGGGCUUGCCUGCCGACAGGACCUUUUCCAACUCUUUGUACUUGUAAUUGCGUCAAAAAAAUGUAAUCGUUACAACUUUCAACAACGGAUCUCUUGGUUCUGGCAUCGAUGAAGAACGCAGCAUCUGACUGAC